rnacentral:tRNA from 1 species
UGGGGUGUAGCUCAGUGGUAGAGCACUUGUCUAGCAUGCUUAAGGUCCUGGGUUCAAUCCCUAGUGCUACAA